GUAGGUGGCAAGCGUUGUCCGGAAUUAUUGGGCGUAAAGCGCGCGCAGGCGGUUCUUUAAGUCUGAUGUGAAAGCCCACGGCUCAACCGUGGAGGGUCAUUGGAAACUGGAGAACUUGAGUACAGAAGAGGAAAGCGGAAUUCCACGUGUAGCGGUGAGAUGCGUAGAGAUGUGGAGGAACACCAGUGGCGAAGGCGGCUUUCUGGUCUGCAACUGACGCUGAGGCGCGAAAGCGUGGGGGGAGCAAACAGGAUUAGAUACCCUGGUAGUCCACGCCGUAAACGAUGAGUGCUAAGUGUUAGGGGGUUUCCGCCCCCCCCUUAGUGCUGCAGCUAACGCAUUAAGCACUCCGCCCUGGGGAGUACGGCCGCAAGGCUG
rnacentral:rRNA from 1 species